ensembl:lncRNA
UGUGGUUGAUUCUGCUGAAGGUGUGCUCUGACUCGUGGUUGGUUCCUCAGUUUGACUUAAAGUUGUGAGUGUUUCUACUGAUAAUGGUGCUGAUGUUACAGAUUCUGUGCUUACAGAUGUUGUAGCAGAUGUCACAGUAGUGGAUGGUGUUGUUACAGCUGUAAGCUGUGAUCUAUGAGUAGUUUGGUUAUCUAUGGGUUGUUGUGUUACAGAAAACAUAGGUUGUGUUAAAUUAUUUUCUAAAGGUGUUGUUAAUUCUGUUGCUACAGAUGUUUGUUUGUCUUGUUGUGUUGUUGAUAUUACAAGGUCUGCUGUUGUCGUUGCUGUUGUUGUAUUUGACGCACCUCCUGCUGCUGUUGUAGUUGUAGUUGUACUUGACGCACCUGCUGCUGUUGUUGCUGUUGUUGUAUUUGACGCACCUCCUGCUGCUGUUGUUGUAUUUGACGUGCCUGUUGUUGCUGCUGUUGUAUUUGACGUGCCUGUUGUUGCUGCUGUUGUAUUUGACGUGCCUGUUGUUGCUGGACUUUCAGUUGUAUUCUGGGCUGUAGCUGGUACAAUAACUAGCUCUAUGGCCACUAUUUGUAAAGAGCAGAAGGAGAUUGAUGCAUUAAUUUUCUUCAGAGAAGUGUAAACACCUUUGCUUUAAGUCACAUGACUUACUUACCUGCAAGUAUUAGCAGAGUUGAUAGGAUGCGUCCAAAACCCAUUGUGUCUGUUCUCAACCUACAAUAUUGACAGUACAAUGACUUUCUCAGAAAUGUUAACAGCAAGUAACACAUUGAAAUUAAAUUAGAUUUUUCAGUGUGAACAUACUUAACCAAAAUUAACAUAAUUUGCUGUUUUAUAGUUUCUAUUAUUUACAGACAUAACCUUAAGAAAGAAAAUAAGGUGUGAAGUAAUGGUUAUUACCUAGUUAAAGACAGUAAAUUGAAGCUUGUACCUCCAUGAACAUAUGGCAAUGAAGGUAGCUGCUCAUAUUAUGUAUACAGUAAAAUGUGUGCAACAGACAAUAGAUGCCAGUAUAAGGUACACAAGUUGUACUACUCUGCGAGGCCAUUGUUUCUAAUGGGAGUUUGGCUUAAUACAAUAUAAGUGUAUCUGAAUGUGUACAGUUACAGUGUUACUUGAAAAGUUAACAUUAAUCAAUAUUGACUGAAUUACAGACUAAACGCUACACGCUCACUGCUCAGAGCCAGAUUUGAAGGAGUAAUCGCUCUAACUUGAAGUUUAAUUACAUACAGUACCAGCUGCCCUUGCUCAUUAAAUAACUAAUACAAUAAAAAUAUAGAAAUUAAAAAGAUGAUCAAUUUAAAAAUUGCAGUAGCACUUUUUGUUCUGCACAAAUCUGCGCUUUGCUAUCAGUGAGUCCUAGUUACAUUUAUUUUAUCAGUAGCAUUAUAUUAAAAAUUGUUCAAAAUUCUUUGUUGUUUUGGUGGAGAACAUUUUAUUAUGUUUUAUUAGUAAUUAGACUUAUACCUGUGUAUUGAGAGAGGUAAAUUAAUUUGCCUUAAUUGGUUUAAAUGUUCUAAAGACCUUGCAAAAAAAAAAAUUAAAUAAAUAUAAAUUAAAUACAAUUAAAUAAUGCUCUUUAGAUAAUCAAACUUUCAGUGUAAAAAAUAAAACCAAAUUAUAUCAUUAUAUUACAAUGUCAAGACCAAAUGUACUUACCCAAAUGCCCUUUAGACUUGUAGUAGUUAGUGGAGGCUCCUCACGUACCCUACCUCAGUACUCGUCUGAUGCGAUGCCACCUGUUUGCUGAGCUCUUAUAUAAUUUGCUGCAUAGUGAAAGAAUGUGACCUGACAACAGUGAGUCAACCAGUGCAGAAGAAAACCAAGAAAAACAAUAGUCCAAACAACCACAGAUUCAACAUAACACAGAUCAAUUUCAAGUUUCUGUCACUAAAAAAGAACAGAAGGCUAUGGAUUCUCCUGAAGUAAACUAAUCGGAUCUUGCUAGCUGUUGCUCAAACAAAACCGAGAAACACUUUUCUCCAAAAUACUAUACUGUUCUGUUGCUCUAUAAAAGUUUCGCUAAAAGCCAAUAACGUCUUUGUGACUUCAUCUACACUUCACUUCAGAUCAGAACAUUGAUCAUUUUAGGACUACAUUAAGAUUUAAUGUGCUGUUAAACAGAAAACAGCACUACAAAAGCUAGAAAUAAAGAAGAUUUGCAUAGAUAUUGACAAGGCACGAUACAACAUACUGUGUAUAGACAUAAAAUCUGUAUAUUAUUGUAUUUAUAAAUAAAUAACAGGACAUGGGAACUAUUCAUAGAGAAUUAUUCAGAACUACUACAAAUAGCUUUACAGCCAUAAAACACUUACAGUAUAGAACAUUUUGCCUAUAAUUGAUAUUGAUUAUUUUUUCUUUAUAUUAUUCUACAUAAUCUCUAAAAGGAUUCUUAACAGACAGAAGUGAGAAGUGCACUUAAAUCUCCUGGUAGAUGGCUGCAUUGAGUUUGAACUUGAUGAAAUGCAGUGGACCAACACCAGCAGAUAACAUGCCACCCCCACGUCAUCUAUAGAAAUGUCUCACUGAACUUCAAUCUAGAGUACGAGUUUCAACUUUUUAAUUCUGUUUAAAAAAAUCACAAUAUUCAGAUUUGCAUUUCACUUAAACAGAUUCAUCCAUACAACGAUUGAUUGAUCAGAUUACGGUAUCUACCAUUCAUAUGCACUACUAGGAUUCAGUUUGUUUUUUUUUUUUACUUUUUUUUUUAGCUUUUUCCAAUGCAGACCAUGAACUCCAGAGAUAUGUGGGUGUGAGUAUAUAUAGAAACAGAAAAGUACACACAAUGCAGACUUGGCGUCAUUCCUGUACAGCUUGUCUCUUACCAAAAGAAUAACAUUCAUCUCGCUUUCUGAUCUGCUUUCCUCACAGUGUGUACUCUGUGUGUCAAGUCCCCUUUAUGGAUAGUUAUGUCCAUAAAUACCUGAACAGUGACACAGCUUUUAUCAUUUAGGCUCUCUACGCUACCAGCCUUGAUUUGAAAUGAAAUUUACAUGUAGGUAUUGCAGCCACUUUUAAGUAUGGUGGUUCAUAACUAUUAAAGCAAACUUGUGUAACGCUUAAUCAAAUGGGGUAUUUUAUUAUUUGCUUUUAUAAUUCCUUACAGUCAGCCUGAAUUCCACAGGCAGCACGAGAUGCUGGGUUUUUUCAUUCAAUUUUAGGUCAGAUGAUUCAUCACCUGCUAAAAAAAAGUGUUGUGUCCCUGUAUGGAUUUAUAAGUAAAUUUUUCUAAACAUAAAGCUUGUAUUUAUU